AUCAAAGAUGGAACAGCAAGACUCAGCUGCCUCUGCAAGCCUUUCGGCUAGGUAUAGUGAUCCCUGUUUGGCUUCGCUCAUAGAAUAAGUGGACCUGUUCCUUCUGAACGUGGCCUCAGAAUGCUGAAAACCAUUCCCAGAAGCAGAGAAGGGAUGAGGACCCUGUGAAAGGCCAAGAGAUCAAAUAUGGAACAGCAAGACCCGGCUAGCUCUGAAGCAGGACUUGGCCCUGAUGCCAUCAAGACUUGGACCUGUGUGGCAGAAUUCUGCAGGGGAAAUGUGCAGAAGAUCUUGGGGGAGAACCCCCUCAGCUCACAUGUGCAGCGCCAGCAGUUCAGGCGUUUCUGCUACCAGGAGGCUGAGGGGCCCCAAGAGGCUUGCAGCCGACUCCACCUUCAUUGCCGUGAGUGGCUGAAGCCGGAGUGACACACAAAGAACCAGAUCCUGGACAAGGUGGUCCUGGAGCAGUUCCUGGCUGUCCUUCCAUCAGAGGUGGACAGCUGGGUGAGGGAGUGUGGAGCGGAGACCAGUUGCCAGGCGGUGGCCCUGGCAGAAAGUUUCUUCCUGAGUCGGACAGAAGACAAGAAGCAGGAAAAGCAGCAGGAAAAGGGUGUCUGUGCAGAAAUAAGAACUGAUUUCUCUGAGGCAAAGAGGACUCGAUCAGACCCCAGGCAGAGGCUGCUGGGUGAUGGAAUGAUGUUGGCAAGACCUACUAAGCCAUCUCCCCUUUCUGGUGGAGAAGCUGCUGCCGUCACCCUGGAUCAGGUAGGAGGAAGACUCAGAAGGGGGAUAGGCUGGGGCCAGCCUGGGUGCCUCUCUGUCCUCUGCUCACC